UGAAUAGUAGUUUGAGGGGGUUAUGUGGACUUUCCCCAAUAUUCUAACAGUCAAAUUCUUGGACUGAGUUUCUUUCGUCUUGUUUUUGCAGUGGCAAGAAGUACCCUGACCUUGGUUUCUCAAAGGACACCAGUAGCACUAUGACUAUCGUUGCUGGGUUUGCACCAGUGAAGAUAUAUUAUGAAGGGUCUGGGUCUGAGAGCUUUGAAGCAGGAACCUGCAAGUGCUGCAACAGCCACCCAUGCAAGUGCGGCAAAUGAACAAAAAGGUGAAAAGUCCCAAUAAAGCAUCAGUGGUCGUCGAUGUUUUGUCUAUAUAUAAGAUAAGAGGAAAAUGGGGUGCAUAUUUGGGUCCCAUGUAAUCGUAAAAUAAGACAGCCAUUGUCUCUGCAAAUUGAAGUUUGUUUUAUUUG